rnacentral:tRNA from 1 species
AGCAGAAUGGCUUAGUCUGGUUUAGAGCACGUGGCUCAUGCCCACGAGAUCCCUGGUUCGAAUCCAGGUUCUGCUA